rnacentral:tRNA from 1 species
GGGGCUGUAGCUCAGCCGGGAGAGCGCUACAUUCGCAUUGUAGAGGCCAGGGGUUCGAAUCCCCUCAGCUCCACCA